UUUGGCUUUAAAUUUUAAAUUCCCUUUGAAUUCACUUUAGUAAACAACCCUGGUGUAUUUACUGAUAAUACUGCAAAAGAAUAAAAACUGUAAAAUACUCUGCCCUGGGACAAGAUUUAUCAGUCAAACAACUCCAAAACCACAACUCCAAUGGCUUUAUGUAUUUGGAUAGUAUAUCAAAGUGAAUAAAAUGUAGAAAUGUGCAAAUCGUUUCAGUCCGAAUUUAAAUUCAGACGAAUUUUGGCAAUUCGGACAUUCGGAUGCUUCCGAAUGUCCAAAUUGUCAAAGUGCUGAACCGAACCAAAUUGCUGAAGCUUCAAAUUGCCAAAGAGACGAAUUUCAGAAGUGCUGAAGUGCUUCGGAUUUCUGAAAAGUGGCAAAACAGUAAAGGGGAGGGAAAUUAAGGGAAUGAUGACAGGAAUCUACACCUAACCCUUACCCCAACCUUCUUCUAACCUUAACCCUACCCCUAACCCUAGAAGGUUAGG